GNAGGGGGCAAGCGNCAUCCGAANCUAUNGGGUNUAAAGGGAGCGUAGAUGGAUGNNUAAGNCAGUNGUGAAAGNNUGCGGCUCAACCGUAAAAUCGCAGUNGAUACUGGAUAUCUUGAGUGCAGUNGAGGCAGGCGGAAUUCGUGGUGUAGCGGUGAAAUGCUUAGAUAUCACGAAGAACUCCGAUUGCGAAGGCAGCUCACUGGACUGCAACUGACACUGAUGCUCGAAAGUGUGGGUAUCAAACAGGAUUAGAUACCCUGGUAGUCCACACAGUAAACGAUGAAUACUCGCUGUUUGCGAUAUACAGUAAGCGGCCAAGCGAAAGCGUUAAGUAUUCCACCUGGGGAGU
rnacentral:rRNA from 1 species